UUGCUGCAGGGGUAGAGGGAGGUGCUUGGCAAGAAUAGGACAUUGCGGUCAGAGUGGGAUAUCUGAAAUGGGUACUAUGGGAGUGACUGAGUUUCUUGAGAUCACAGAGUUCAAGUUGUAACUGAGGGAGCAGGUGGCUUAGGGUGAAGUGGAGGAAAUCACUAGGAAGCUCAGUGAGCAGAGUCAAGAUUGUUGGCUGGUUAAUCCAUGGGGCUAUUGUAUUCAGCUGGAUGAUUACAGCAGCUAAGGUGAGGAUGGAGAUUGUGCACAGGUGCUAACGUCUUCAAGGAGGACUUGGAGGUUGAAGCAGCAAGAGUGGUGAAGCUGCAUGAUAUGAAUCUCAAAGUUCCAGAAAAGGAUUUGGAUGGAGCUGUUGGAAACCAGGAGGAUACUAAUCCAACUUCUUAGCCCACUGCUUAAGUACUGGAGGCGUGAGAGGGAAAACAAACAAAAAAGCACCUUGCCUGAGUAGGAUAAAGGAGAAAUCAUGUUUACUGGGAACAUCGAGGUUUCAGGGUUGUGACAAUUCAAAUUUUCCCCCUUGGAAGUACUGCACUAGAAGUAGGCCAUAAAGAAGAAUUUUCAGGACAUAAAAUAGGGCAGAUUUGGAAUUAAGAGAUGCAGCAUUCAAUAAAGGUGGACCUUAUUUUACAUAAUAAGACGAACAGUUAAAUCAGUAGACUUUGAAUAAAGCAGACUACUUUCCAUAAGACUGGCCCUGAGCUAACAUCCAUGCCCAUCUUCCUCUACUCUACAUGUGGGAUGCCUGUCACAGCAUGGCGUGCCAAGCGGUGCCAUGUCUGCACCCGGGAUCCGAACCGGCAAACCCCGGGACACCGAAGUGGAAUGUGUGCACUUAACCACUGCGCCACCAGGCUGGCCCCUACUCUGAUUCUUUUAAGUAGAGGUUCUUUAAAAAAAAACUGUCAAUUUUGAAAAAUGUUAGGUCAUUACUUCUUCAAAUGAUUCAUCUGCUCCAUUCUCUCUCUCUUCCUACAAUCCAUUAGCAUGUGUCUUGGACAUUGUCAUGAAAUCCCGUAUGUCUCUUAUGCCCUUUUCUAUCUAUUUUUCAUUGUUUCAUUUUCAUGCUUCAGUUUGAAUGUUUUCUAUUGACCUAUUUUCUAAUUUAGUAUUACAUGACUAACAAGCUAUUAAACCCAUC
rnacentral:lncRNA from 1 species